rnacentral:rRNA from 1 species
CCUACGGGGGGCAGCAGUGAGGAAUAUUGGUCAAUGGGCGCGAGCCUGAACCAGCCAAGUAGCGUGAAGGAUGACUGCCCUACGGGUUGUAAACUUCUUUUAUAAAGGAGUAAAGUGAGGCACGUGUGCCUUUUUGUAUGUACUUUAUGAAUAAGGAACGGCCAACUCCGUGCCAGCAGCCGCGGUAAUACGGAGGAGCCGAGCGUUAUCCGGAUUUAUUGGGUUUAAAGGGAACGGAGGUGGGUUGUUAAGUCAGUUGUGAAAGUGUGUGGCGCAACCGUAAAACUGCAAUUGAUACUGGCAGUCUUGAGUGCAGGUGAGGUAGGCGGAAUUCGUGGUGUAGCGGUGAAAUGCGUAGAUAUCACGAAGAACACCGGUGGCGAAGGCGGCUUACUAGACUGCCACUGACAUUGAGGCGCGAAAGUGUGGGUAGCAAACAGGAUUAGAUACCCUUGUAGUC